GCCGCGAUGCCCCCGCCGCGUCUCCUAGUCCGAGCCAGAGCGUUAGUGAGCACGGACGUAUCGCUGUCCGUCACCGCCGGACCCGCGAUGUACGUAACCUUAUAAAACUACAAAUAUGUAAUCGCGUAUUGGUGAACCCCGCUACCGGGGUUCACGUUCACCUUCAUCUUCACCUUCACUACAACUACCUGCCAUGCAUGGCCAGCGGCUCUUCAACCCGGCAGAGCUGCCUGCCGUGUCGGACGGCCCGUGCGCACACUCUAAGUGGCCCUACACCACAGUGCGUACGGCCCUUACCGUCUGGCGUGUCGACAACUCUGCGGGCUUACCAUCUCGAAGAACCAACCCACAUCACCAUCAGUGCUAGCGAGGACAGUGGUUUGAAUAUACUACCACCGGUGACGAAUCUCGUGCGAUACGAUAGUUUGCUCGUAACUCACACCCUUAAGGUCUCUUUCUCUUAAAUUGUAAUAAAUGACUUGUUAACUUAAA